GAAAUUUAAAGAUGCACUGGCCAAACACUCGACAGAACCAUGCGGCCAUGGGCCAGCAAAAGGGCUGGAGGAAAAGGAGCUUAUUGCAUUGGCUGCCAACAAAGAUCUCAACUUCACACAUGCACCAAAACCAGAUCAGCCAACACCAGCUCCUCCUGAGGAAGAGUUAGUACCAGCACUUCCCCUAUCUCAUACAAAUCCAAGCCCACCUCUACCUUUACCUCUUCCUCUUCCCACAAGACUGGAGUCUGCUCAAGGCUCAGAGGAGAAAACCUUGGUCACAUCAGGGAGAUGAUCGGGUCAGCAUUCACCGAUUCUUCUCCUUAUUCUCCUUGUACAGUUCUAUUUUGUGUUUUUUAAUAUCCAUGUUACGAAGCAAUCAAACUAGUAGAGGUGAAGUCUAUAUGUGUAUCCUUACAGAAUUGCAGGCUUUUGGAUUUAUUUUUUUUGGAUCCUAGCCUGCCUGCUUGUAUGAGGGGUCUAUAUGAUGUAAAAAGCUUAUCCAUUUUGUAUUUUUGUUUUUACCCUCCUUCUAUCAACCCUUAUUGGUAACACAACGUGGGUAGUUUUAACAGAUAUGUAGCAUUAAUAUAAUAUUUCUAUAUUAGUAUUAUUAUGUUUGUCUUUUUAUUUUUUAUUUUUUAAAAACUUUCUUUCUUGUAGUUUUUCCGUGACUCUAUUUAGAUUUUGAGCAACUAGAUGCCUGGUUUUGAGGAUAAAUUUGAGUGAAGAUUAACUUAUGCUGGUUGUGAAGUUUCCUUGGGUAACUAGCUGCAGUAUUCAGCAAUCUAGAUAUAUUGGCAUGCCUUUGUGAGCAAUAAUCCAAAUAGCUGUUGCAUUUGCUUAUUGUUGGUGUUCAUUGAAGGUUAUGUGAUGUGAGGUAUCAUUGUAUGGAUGAAUGAGUUUUGUGAUGGAAUGCUUUGGAUAAACUUUUUAUACCACUCCACUUCCUUGUCUUGGUGGUUCUUUGUUUUAUGUAUAAUGAUAGGCCAUUUUGGAUAUUAUUUUCACAUGGUUGUUCCAUCAUCAUACUCAGGCAUGAGGCCAACAAUGAUCAGUUCCCUUAUUUUUCAAAACCAACAAGUUACAUCUCUAAGAGAAUAAUUGAACAUGUUCUUAUGUAUGCCUUUGCUUCCCUCUUGUUCUUCUUGGCUUUUAUUGACUGGUUCUGAUAUACUCACGUGACAUUGACUGGUGGAAAAUUAAUUACGCUCAUCUGACAUUAGAAUACCCAGCCAUUGCCAUGUUGAGUGCCUACUCGCUAACAUAGGAGGUUAUGGUUCAAAUCUGGACAACCUCAUUUUGCUUUAAGUAUUUCCUAAGUA
rnacentral:misc_RNA from 1 species